AUGUCAGAGUCGUGUAGGUCGUGUCGGUGGCCGCGGCGAACAUGUCCUGAUAAUGGCCUUGAUGCCGACCGUGUCGAACCGGACACCCCCGGAGUCUUCUCCAUCGUCCUCGCUGACGUCCAGCAGCACGUCCACGAAGUCCCGGUGAUCGUCCUCCCCGUCGCCAACGAGCCGCCGUCCUCUGCCGAGACGCCGCUGGCGGUGGUCGGAGAUGACCCGCUCGAGGAGCCCGUCCAUCACCUUGCGCGCCCGUGCCACCUUGGCGUCCAGCCCCAUGAGCGUAUCCACCCACGCCAGCCACGGGACGAACUCCCCCACCGUGGCCGAGCCCAGCAGCUCCUCGAACUCGGCGAACACCUCCGUCAGGUCGUCGUCGAUCCCGUACCCGCCAUCGUCGCCGAACGCGGCCCGCGAGAUGACGGCGCUGGUGUAGGAUAUGAGCUCGUCGGUCAGGUUCACGACGUUAUCCUCGGGCCGCGAGCAGCAGGCGGCAGCGCGCUGGACGCGGUCGACCAGGGCGCCGGCCUCCUGCUCCCGGACGCGGCGGAAGGAGGCCACGCGGCGGGCGCUGAGGAGGUGGAGCACGCACACGCGGCGCGCCUGCCGCCAGUACUGCCCGUAGGGGGCGAAGGCCAUGUCGCGGCCGUACAGGAGGCGCUCCGCCAUGCGCACCGCGGGGCGGCUGGCGAAGGCCAGGUCGUGGGUCUUCAUGACCUCCAGCGCCGCGUCCGCCGAGGAGGCCACGACGGUGGGCACGCCGCCGAGGCGCAGGAGCAUGACGGGGCCGUGCGCCUCGGCCAGGGACCGGAGCUUCCGGUGCGGCAGGGAACCGAGAAGAGGGAGGUGGCCAAGGACGGGAAUGCCCCAUGGCGACGGAGGCAGGCGCGCGCCGCCAUUGCUGCGGGAUGGACCAGGCUUCUCGGUGAGGAAGAGGAGGAAAGAGACGAAGAUCGGCACGAGCAGGGUGAGGAGGAGCAGGGGUGA
rnacentral:rRNA from 1 species